AGGAGUGCUGCAUGGCCAUUCCUCUUUCUCAAAUUGUGUUCAUUGAAGAGCAGGCAGCUGGAAUUGGGAAGAGUGCCAAAAUAGUGGUUCAUCUUCACCCAGCUCCUCCUAACAAAGAACCUGGCCCAUUCCAGAGUAGAAGAAUUCCUAUAUCAAACUCUCCUUCAAAGAACAUGGCCAGAUUGAGUUUUACAGGUGUUUAUCAGAGGAAAUGACACAGAGAAGAUGGGAGAAUAUGCCAUUACAAACAAAUAGAGGACCCCAGCCGGGCUGUAGGAAUUGUAGGAAUUGAAAGGACACUGGAAGAAAAAAGAAAAGAAACUGACAAAAACAUUUCUGAGGCAAUUUGCGGGGGCUGACAGCGCACCACAGCAUCGCCACUCUCUUUGCUACCCAGAAGGCGCUGUCACACUUCUCUUCAGCACUGUCUCUUACCAUCCUCUUUGUGUCGACACUGCUGGAGAUGGCAUGGAACACCUAAUUUUCAUGGAGUUGCACUGCUCAAAGGAGUCCCCACAAACCUUGUGCUCUACUGUCCUGCAGAUCAUUGCUGUCUUCAGUAGAGAGUCUGCCUCUCUUUUCUGUGACAGGCCCUGUAUCGAGGCUGUGGCUGCUAUGGUGAUACCCCAGACACAAGCACACAGAGGCAUUAUCUGCAGGGGGAUAAAUGUCUUGUACAUAUGGUCUACGUGGCCCCUGACUUAUGUUGGGGUCAGGGAAGGCUUGUUAGCAGCAGAAACAAGGAAGACAAGGCCUGAAAGAGGAGCAGGCACUAGCAGAUGGCCAGCAGGGAUAAGAGGAACUCAGGUACAGAGAAUGGAAUAUAUAGAGGCACAGACUCAAGGGUAUUGAAAUGGAAAAUUCAAGCACAUAUUAGUAGUUACAGAAACUAAUAACCAAAGUAAUGACUGAAAGUCAGUAAGAUAUAAUGCUUUAAAAGGGUUUAAGUUGGUUUAAGAGGGUUUUAAAACAUGGCAUUUUUCUUAAAAUUGGAGUGGAAGUUUCACCGUGGGUAAGAUGGGGGAUAGAAGGUUCUGUAAACUGGCAGAUGAAAUAAUAUAAUAGGUAUGUGCAGCUAUUUUUGCAUUAAUCCAUAUUGUAGGUAGUUUCUCCACUCAUUUAUCGGAUAGUUUGCUAAAUCCAAAUUUUAGAAUAAUAGAAAUAAAAGUGAGGAAACUUCUGUUUGUGCUUUAUAAUUACUUAAAAUAUUUUCUAGGCAGUUCUUCUAGGACACUAAGAUAUUUACUAUAUUUAUUUUUUAUUGACUGUAUUUAUAAACAAUAAGAACUAAUGUAUAUAUUCUGUAUGAACUCACUCCAUUAUUUUAGUACGUUUUUCUAUGAAAAGAUAAUAUAAUAAAGUGAUUUAUCAUAUAAAAA